AUAAGAUGGAACACAGGGCCCCCAAUGGAGAAGCUACAGACACGCUCUUUCAAGAGAAGGAGGCAGGGACACUUAAGAGAACACUAUCGUCCUCUUUUAUCACAGAGACAGACACCGAGACAGACAGACAGACAUACACACACACACACACACACACACACACAGGAAAUGAUUUAAGGUAACAGUAUCCUGUUCUGACUGUUUUGUGUUUGGUUAGACACUUCUUAGCCCCUCUGUGUCUCUCUCAACUGUCAUAUCUGUCUUGGCAACACAUUUGACAUUUUCAUGGCCUUGACCACGGUCCAGAUGUAUUAAUCAAAAUACUUGGUAAGUUAUGUCUAAAGUAACUGCUAUGCUCUGCUAGGAGGGAAGGUUUCAAUGUUACUCUGACCCUGAUCUAAUAACUCUGGUGUAACUUGGUGGUUUUUGCCUUUAAAAAUGCUGAAUUCCUGUGCUUGGGCACUGAGAGAUAUUUUGGAGGCUCAAGCCUGCUCUUUGUCUGGCCAUCGAUAUAAAAGACUUAAAACUUUUAAUUGGCUUAAUUAGUGUGGUAGUCAAUAACUAUCUCGUGUGGAUCAUUGAGAGAAACGAGAGGGGAGUCAGGCACCUUUGUCUGUUAGCUUGACUCCGGAGAUGACUGACUAAGAAAGACUUGCUUUCGUGGAGGAAAGCUCUGGGGGCCUGGACUGCUCAGAAUGGGAAAGAGGAGAAACCCAGGUAAGGGUGGCCAUUCCCAUCCAUCUCUCUGUUUCCCCAUCCCCUGCGGUGCACAGAGUCCCACACGCAUGCGCCCGCUGCCGUGCCUUCCCAGGCCUGAUGAAUUUAUAUCCCAUCAAACUACACGCCCCGUCCAAACCCCUCCUCCCUGAAGUUGCUUCUUGUCAUGUAUGCUGUCGCUGCAGUGAGAAGGGAAUCACACCAACCCUCAGGCUGCCUCAGUGACGUGUGGACUGGGAAGAAUGAGCCGGGGGUCUUCUGGGAGCAGAAGGGAGGAAAGAGGGGUGGGUCUUGGGGCUGGUGGGGGUGCCGGAAGAGGACAGCUCUUCUCAACUGCCCUCACAUGUGCCUCAGAAUCACUCCUGACACUGCUGCAAAUGAGCAUCUUCCUGAUCCCGUGGGGACCGAGCUGCAGUGGAGAGACCCCCUCAGAUGGCGGUUGCCAGUGUCUUCCUGAAACAAGAAUUGAAAUCCAAGUCUGUCCUUUGGCUUUUGCUCACUUUCCCCCACUGUGCCUCCUUUUUUCAAUGUAGUCAAGCAAGACUAGCACUUGAGAGGCUGAGGCAGGUGGAUGGCAAGCUUGAAGUGAGCCUAGGCUACCUCUCAAGACUCAAAGCAAGCAAGCAAAGCCAACAACAGGGGGGAAAAACAUAGCUAUAUUUAUCAUCAAAUCAAUGUCAAAAUAAAAACCUGAGAUUCUCCACCCAGUGAAUAAUCAUUGGCAAAUGUCUUUCCAGGGUAACGAUGCUCAAAGGUGGCUGUUGGCUGUUUAAUGCAUAUGUCACAGUCUGUGGCAGUCUGCUAACCUGUCAAUCUUGUAUUCUCAUUUGCCUUGGUAACAGGACUCAUGGCAAUGUGCCCAAGAGAAAUAAAAUCAUUCUCCGGGUUCCUUAACUGAUAGGAACUACUGACAGCAUUUAUAGUAGAAGAGGUUCCUGCAGCAUCUGCUGUCAUGUUUCCCUGGGAUUCCCUGUGCCAAGGAGGGCCAAAGAGAGUCCCCAUUGAGCAUCUGCUGUGGGAGCUGGAGGCUCCUCCUCCAUUGUCAUCCCUCACCAUCCUGGUGACCUGCACCUUCGCCCUGGCUUUUCAUGCCUGUGACAGGCUCUGACUGUAGCUUUCUCUGGGCCAGGCUGGAUUUCUGGUAGCCGUAACUGGGCCUUGCAGGUAGUGGAACAGAGGAGCAGAAUGAUCUGGAACCUUUGGCAGGUGGUCGGCAGGGGAGAUGUCUGAGUUAAGCUAUCACCUGCACCAGAGUCCAGCAGCAUCUGGUCUGAAGCGAGUUCAUGUUGUGAAAAUGAGGCCAGAGGUGCAAAAGAAAUGAAGUUAUUCAAUAUGUGGCCUUCCAAAUGGAUGGAUCUAGAGGAUAUCACCCUGAGUGAGUGACUUGUGUUAAAGACUGAAAUUGGAGCUACCAUGGCUGUACGAGAGGCCCAACAAGCAGCUGACUGAGACAGAUGCAGAUACUUACACCCAACCA